UACGUAGGGUGCAAGCGUUAAUCGGAAUUACUGGGCGUAAAGCGUGCGCAGGCGGUUUUGUAAGUCUGUCGUGAAAGCCCCGGGCUCAACCUGGGAAUUGCGAUGGAGACUGCAAGGCUUGAAUCUGGCAGAGGGGGAUAGAAUUCCACGUGUAGCAGUGAAAUGCGUAGAGAUGUGGAGGAACACCGAUGGCGAAGGCAGCCCCCUGGGUCAAGAUUGACGCUCAUGCACGAAAGCGUGGGGAGCAAACAGG
rnacentral:rRNA from 1 species